CAUGCAGUCGAGCGGAGAUGAGGUGCUUGCACCUUAUCUUAGCGGCGGACGGGUGAGUAAUGCUUAGGAAUCUGCCUAUUAGUGGGGGACAACAUUUCGAAAGGAAUGCUAAUACCGCAUACGCCCUACGGGGGAAAGCAGGGGAUCUUCGGACCUUGCGCUAAUAGAUGAGCCUAAGUCGGAUUAGCUAGUUGGUGGGGUAAAGGCCUACCAAGGCGACGAUCUGUAGCGGGUCUGAGAGGAUGAUCCGCCACACUGGGACUGAGACACGGCCCAGACUCCUACGGGAGGCAGCAGUGGGGAAUAUUGGACAAUGGGGGGAACCCUGAUCCAGCCAUGCCGCGUGUGUGAAGAAGGCCUUUUGGUUGUAAAGCACUUUAAGCGAGGAGGAGGAGCUCUAGAUUAAUACUCUAGAUGCUUGGACGUUACUCGCAGAAUAAGCACCGGCUAACUCUGUGCCAGCAGCCGCGGUAAUACAGAGGGUGCAAGCGUUAAUCGGAUUUACUGGGCGUAAAGCGUGCGUAGGUGGUCUUUUAAGUCGGAUGUGAAAUCCCUGAGCUUAACUUAGGAAUUGCAUUCGAUACUGGGAGACUAGAGUAUGGGAGAGGAUGGUAGAAUUCCAGGUGUAGCGGUGAAAUGCGUAGAGAUCUGGAGGAAUACCGAUGGCGAAAGCAGCCAUCUGGCCUAAUACUGACACUGAGGUACGAAAGCAUGGGGAGCAAACAGGAUUAGAUACCCUGGUAGUCCAUGCCGUAACGAUGUCUACUAGCCGUUGGGGUC
rnacentral:rRNA from 1 species